rnacentral:rRNA from 1 species
UACGGAGGGGGCUAGCGUUGUUCGGAAUUACUGGGCGUAAAGCGCGCGUAGGCGGAUUUGCAAGUCGGGGGUGAAAGCCCGAGGCUCAACCUCGGAACUGCCCUCGAUACUGCAAAUCUCGAGUCCGAGAGAGGUGAGUGGAAUUCCUAGUGUAGAGGUGAAAUUCGUAGAUAUUAGGAAGAACACCAGUGGCGAAGGCGGCGCACUGGCUCGGUACUGACGCUGAGGCGCGAAAGCGUGGGGAGCAAACAGG